CCUACGGGUGGCAGCAGUGGGGAAUAUUGCACAAUGGGGGAAACCCUGAUGCAGCGACGCCGCGUGGGUGAAGAAGCACCUCGGCGCGUAAAGCCCUAUCAGCAGGGAAGAAAAUGACGGUACCUGAAUAAGAAGCCCCGGCUAACUACGUGCCAGCAGCCGCGGUAAUACGUAGGGGGCAAGCGUUAUCCGGAUUUACUGGGUGUAAAGGGGGCGCAAACGGCGAUGAAAGCCAGGGGUGAAAGCCCAGGGCCAAACCCGGGACUGCUCUUGGAACUGGGUGGCUGGAGUGCAGGAGGGGCAAGCGGAAUUCCUGGUGUAGCGGUGAAAUGCGUAGAUAUCAGGAGGAACACCGGUGGCGAAGGCGGCCUGCUGGACUGUAACUGACGUUGAGGCUCGAAAGCGUGGGGAGCAAACAGGAUUAGAUACCCGGGUAGUC
rnacentral:rRNA from 1 species